rnacentral:rRNA from 1 species
GAGUUUGAUCCUGGCUCAGAUUGAACGCUGGCGGCAGGCCUAACACAUGCAAGUCGAGCGGAUGAAGGGAGCUUGCUCCUGGAUUCAGCGGCGGACGGGUGAGUAAUGCCUAGGAAUCUGCCUGGUAGUGGGGGAUAACGUCCGGAAACGGGCGCUAAUACCGCAUACGUCCUGAGGGAGAAAGUGGGGGAUCUUCGGACCUCACGCUAUCAGAUGAGCCUAGGUCGGAUUAGCUAGUUGGUGGGGUAAAGGCCUACCAAGGCGACGAUCCGUAACUGGUCUGAGAGGAUGAUCAGUCACACUGGAACUGAGACACGGUCCAGACUCCUACGGGAGGCAGCAGUGGGGAACAUUGGACAAUGGGCGAAAGCCUGAUCCAGCCAUGCCGCGUGUGUGAAGAAGGUCUUCGGAUUGUAAAGCACUUUAAGUUGGGAGGAAGGGCAGUAAGUUAAUACCUUGCUGUUUUGACGUUACCAACAGAAUAAGCACCGGCUAACUUCGUGCCAGCCGCCGCGGU